rnacentral:lncRNA from 1 species
CUGCGCAUCCCCAUCCCUACGGAGAAGAUCGUCAACCUGCCCGUGGAGGACUUCAACGCCCUGGUGGGCCGUUACCCGCUGUCGGAGCCGCAGCUGGCGCUGGUGCGCGACAUCCGCCGGCGCGGCAAGAACAAGGUGGCGGCGCAGAACUGCCGCCGCCGCAAGCUCGAGACCAUCGCCCGCCUCCAGGGCGAGCUGAGCCGCCUGGGGCGCGAGCGCGAGCGCCUGCUGCGCGACCGCGGCUUGGCCGAACGGGCGCUGGGUGCUCUGCGCCGCGAUUUGGGGCGCCUCUCGCGGCAGGUGUUGGGCGCCUUGCGCGACGCCGCCGGCAACCCGCUGCCCCCCGAGAGCUUCGCUUUGCGCCUGGCGCCCGACGGCGCCGUCUGCCUCGUGCCUCGCGCUGCCCGCCCCGAGCCCGGCGACUAGAGAGGUGGGUGGGGGUCCCGUCUGCCACCACCCACCACCGCCACCACCUCCCGGUGCCAUCCUGCGCCCCUCGGUGCUCAACGAUGCCCUUGGGUGCCCCUGAUGCCAUCCUGCACCCCUUGGUGCUCAACGGUCCCCUUGAGGCAUCCUUCAGCCUGUGGGAACCAGGAGCACCUUUGGGUGCCCAUGGGGCAUCCUGCACCUCUUGGUGCUCAACGGUGCCCUUGGGUGCCUCUGAUGCCAUCCUGCGCCCCUUGGUGCUGAGCAGUGCCCUUGGGUGCCCCUGAUGCCAUCCUGCGCCCCUCGGUGCUCAACGGUGCCUUUGGGUGCCCCUGAUGCCAUCCUGCGCCCCUUGGUGCUCAACGGUGCCCUUGGGGCAUCCUGCAGCUCAUGGGAACCAAGAGCACCUUUGAGUGUCCCUGAUGCCAUCCUGCACCUCUUGGUGCUGAGCAGUGCCCUUGGGUGCCCUUGAUGCCAUCCUGCACCCCUUGGUGCUCAACGGUGCCCUUGGAGCAUCCUGCAGCUCACGGGAACCAAGAGCACCUUUGGGUGCCCAUGGGGCACCCUGCAGCUCAUGAGAACCAGGAGGACCUUUGGGUGCCCAUGGUGCCAUCCUGCACCCCUAGCUGCUCAACGGUUCCCAUGGGGCACCCUGCAGCUCAUGAGAACCAAGAGGACCUUUGGGUGCCCAUGGGGCAUCUUGCACCCCUUGGUGCUCAGCAGUGCCCUUGGGUGGCCAUGAGGCAUCUGGCAGCUCACGGGAACCAAGAGCACCUUUGGGUGCCCAUAGGGCAUCCCUCACCCCUCAGUGCUCAACAGUGCCCUCAGGUGCCCGUGGGGCACCCUUGCAGCUCAUGGUAGCCAAGAGGACCUUUUGGUGACCGUGGUGCCAUCCUGCACCCCAUGGUGCUCAGUGGUGCCCUUGGGUGCUCACAGGGCAUCCUGCACCCCCCAGUGCCCGAUGGUGGUCUUGAGUCCCCAUGGUGCCAUCUUGCACCCCUUGGUGCUCAACAGCGCCCUUGGGUGCCCUUGGGCACCCAUGGGGCAUCCCAUGGCCUAG